rnacentral:lncRNA from 1 species
UUGCCACAUGUAAAUCCAGUAUAUUUCUUCUUUUUCUUUUUUUUUCUAGUUUUUACAGUACGAGGUGUUUACGACGAUUUUGGUUACGUGGUAAUUACGACGAAUUUGUCCUACGUGGUAUUUACGACGAAUCUCUCCUACAUGGAAUAAACGAGGAAUUUGUCCUACGUGGUAUUUACGACGAAUUUGUCCUACGUGGUAUUUACGACGAAUCUCUCCUACAUGGAAUAAACGAGGAAUUCGUCGUAAGUUCGACGUCAACAUACGAGGAAUUAACGAGUAUUCCGUUUAAAUCCCUAAAAUCCGAAACCCCAAACCCCAAACCCCAUAUUCCUUAUCUUCUACUUCAUAUAUUCCAAACCCUAUCUUUAUUUUCAUUCCAAACCACAAUUCCCUAUCUUCUAAUUCAUAUAUUCCAAACCACAAUUCUCACUUUUACUUAUUCAUAAAACAAACUCCCACAUUUUCUUAUUCACAAAACAAACUCCCACAUUACCUUAUUCAUAAAACAAACUCUCACAUUACCUUAUUCAUAAAACAAACUACACAAAAUCGAGUAUAUUUCUUCUUUUUCUUUUUUUUUCUAGUUUUUACAGUACGAGGUGUUUAUGACGAUUUUGGUUACGUGGUUUUUACGACGAUUCCGUCCUACGUGGAAUUAAAGUGGACCGCGUUCAUCAUUUAUUUUACGUGGUAUUUACGAUGAAUCUCUCCUACGUGGUAUUUACGACGAAUUUGUCCUACGUGGUAUUUACGACGAAUCUCUCCUACGUGGAAUAAACGAGGAAUUUGUCCUACGUGGUAUUUACGACGAAUUUGUCCUACGUGGUAUUUACGACGAAUCUCUCCUACGUGGAAUAAACGAGGAAUUCGUCGUAAGUUCGACGUCAACAUACGAGGAAUUAACGAGUAUUCCGUUUAAAUCCCUAAAAUCCGAAACCCCAAACCCCAAACCCCAUAUUCCUUAUCUUCUACUUCAUAUAUUCCAAACCCUAUCUUUAUUUUCAUUCCAAACCACAAUUCCCUAUCUUCUAAUUCAUAUAUUCCAAACCACAAUUCUCACUUUUAC